rnacentral:rRNA from 1 species
UAAGCAUAUCAAUAAGCGGAGGAAAAGAAACCAACAGGGAUUGCCCUAGUAACGGCGAGUGAAGCGGCAACAGCUCAAAUUUGAAAUCUGGCUCUUUUAGGGUCCGAGUUGUAAUUUGCAGAGGGCGCUUUGGCUUUGGCAGCGGUCCAAGUUCCUUGGAACAGGACGUCACAGAGGGUGAGAAUCCCGUACGUGGUCGCUAGCUAUUGCCGUGUAAAGCCCCUUCGACGAGUCGAGUUGUUUGGGAAUGCAGCUCUAAAUGGGAGGUAAAUUUCUUCUAAAGCUAAAUACUGGCCAGAGACCGAUAGCGCACAAGUAGAGUGAUCGAAAGAUGAAAAGCACUUUGGAAAGAGAGUCAAACAGCACGUGAAAUUGUUGAAAGGGAAGCGCUUGCAGCCAGACUUGCUUGCAGUUGCUCAUCCGGGCGCCUUUGCCCGGUGCACUCUUCUGCAGGCAGGCCAGCAUCAGUUUGGGCGGUGGGAUAAAGGUCUCUGUCACGUACCUCUCUUCGGGGAGGCCUUAUAGGGGAGACGACAUACCACCAGCCUGGACUGAGGUCCGCGCAUUCAUUGCUAGGAUGCUGGCGUAAUGGCUGUAAGCGGCCCGUCUUGAAACACGGACCAAGGAGUCUAACAUCUAUGCGAGUGUUUGGGUGUCAAGCCCGAACGCGUAAUGAAAGUGAACGGAGGUGGGAACCCGCAAGGGUGCACCAUCGACCGAUCCUGAUGUCUUCGGAAGGAUUUGAGUAAGAGCAUGGCUGUUGGGACCCGAAAGAUGGUGAACUAUGCUUGAAUAGGGUGAAGCCAGAGGAAACUCUGGUGGAGGCUCGCAGCGGUUCUGACGUGCAAAUCGAUCGUCAAAUUUGGGCAUAGGGGCGAAAGACUAAUCGAACUAUCUAGUAGCUGGUUCCUGCC